UAAUACUGUAAUGAGGACAAAACCCUAAUCUUAAUAUUGAGCGUUUUUAUAAUUUAUGAAAGAUAUAAUGUUGGAACUAGUAACUAGAGAAUUUCUCCUAAAUGUAAGUGUAUAUCAAAUGGAAUUUUAAUUUAUUGUAAUAACUUUUCAAGAAAUUUUUACUAAAUCAAACAUUAAACUUACAUAAGAAUAUUUUAGGAAAGAUUAAAACAAAAAGAAGGAAUUCGGCAAAUUUAAGUCUCGCCUGUUUACCAAAAACAUCACCUCUUGAUAAGAUAUAGGAGGCUUAGCCUGCCCAGUGAUUAAUUUAACGGCCGCGGUACCCUAACUGCGCGAAGGUAGCACAAUCACUUGUUCUUUAAAUAAGGACCAGUAUGAAUGGCGUCACGAGGACUUUACUGUCUUCUUUUUGUGGUCAGUGAAACUGAUCUUCCCGUGAAGAAGCGGGAAUAAAAAUAUAAGACGAGAAGACCCUAUGAAGCUUUAAAUUAAAUAGCAAUUGUUAUUUGUUUAAUCAAUCUAGUUUAGCGAAUUUGACUAUUAGUUUUAGGUUGGGGUGACUGAGGAGUAAAAUAGAACCUCCUUAAUGAAAGGAAUAUCUAUAAUUCAAGAAUGACAGUUCUAAAAAUCAAAAUAUUGACAUAAGUUGAUCCAGAUUUCUGAUCAAUGAAUCAAGUUACUCUAGGGAUAACAGCGCAAUCCAUUUUGAGAGUUCAUAUCGACAAUUGGGUUUACGACCUCGAUGUUGGAUCAGG
rnacentral:rRNA from 1 species